AACAACAAUGCAGCACAGCGUCUCCGUGUAAGCACCCCUUGAUGCUUCUGGAACCUGGAAGUUCAUCCUCUUAUUAUCAGCCAAGUUGAUUGAUUGGUGUUUUGUCGAAGCUCUUCAUUCAGUCAUAAUCACACAAUUGUUGUUCUUUUUUGUACACAGGAAAAAGUGUUACUCCAAACUUUUCAGUCAUGUCUAGCUCGGCGAGACAUUUACCAUGAGGAAGUUCCCAAUCAAAGAAAUGAACAAGUGAAGCAAGGAGUAAGGGAAUUUUUAUUGCAGCCAUUGGCAGUCCUGGGCAUAUUCUCCUUCCUGCACCGAAGGGUUUCGAUAGCACUAUGUGGAAGCAACAAUGGUGCUGGAGGGUGCAACCUAAGUGUUUCCUUCACACAGGCUUGGACAUAGGACAGCUGCAGCAAUAGAGAUUCUUUUGGCUACUACUGUAAAGACCUAACUUGGUUUAUACCAGAAAAUGAAACAAAGCAAAUUUUGAGAGAAGGAGACUGAACAAACCACAAAUAGCUGGUGGAUACAAUCAUUCGUAAAACCAUU